rnacentral:rRNA from 1 species
CCUACGGGAGGCAGCAGUAAGGAAUAUUGGUCAAUGGGCGCAAGCCUGAACCAGCCAUGCCGCGUGCAGGAAGACGGCCCUAUGGGUUGUAAACUGCUUUUAUCAGGGAAUAAACCCCCGCUCGUGAGCGGGGCUGAAGGUACCUGAGGAAUAAGCAUCGGCUAACUCCGUGCCAGCAGCCGCGGUAAUACGGAGGAUGCAAGCGUUAUCCGGAUUCAUUGGGUUUAAAGGGUGCGCAGGCGGAUUGGUAAGUCAGGGGUGAAAUCCCACAGCUCAACUGUGGAACUGCCUUUGAUACUGUCAGUCUAGAGUAUAGUUGAAGUUGGCGGAAUGUGUCAUGUAGCGGUGAAAUGCUUAGAUAUGACACAGAACACCGAUCGCGAAGGCAGCUAGCUAAGCUAUAACUGACGCUCAUGCACGAAAGCGUGGGGAUCAAACA